GAUGAACGCUAGCGACAGGCUUAACGCAUGCAAGUCGAGGGGCAGCAUAGAAGUAGCAAUACUUUGGUGGCGACCGGCGCACGGGUGAGUAACGCGUAUGCAACCUACCUAUCAGAGGGGAAUAACCCGGCGAAAGUCGGACUAAUACCGCAUAAAACAGGGGCACAGCAUGGUGAUAUUUGUUAAAGAAAUUCGCUGAUAGAUGGGCAGGCGUUCCAUUAGGUAGUUGGUGAGGUAACGGCUCACCAAGCCGAUGAUGGAUAGGGGAACUGAGAGGUUGGUCCCCCACACUGGUACUGAGACACGGACCAGACUCCUACGGGAGGCAGCAGUGAGGAAUAUUGGUCAAUGGGCGGGAGCCUGAACCAGCCAAGUCGCGUGAAGGAAGAAGGAUCUAUGGUUCGUAAACUUCUUUUGCAGGGGAAUAAAGUGCAGGACGUGUCCUGUUUUGUAUGUACCCUGAGAAUAAGGAUCGGCUAACUCCGUGCCAGCCGCCGCGGUAAGAC
rnacentral:rRNA from 1 species